rnacentral:rRNA from 1 species
AUUGAACGCUGGCGGCAUGCUUUACACAUGCGAGUCGAACGGUAACAGGCCGCAAGGUGCUGACGAGUGGCGAACGGGUGAGUAAUGCAUCGGAACGUGCCCAGUCGUGGGGGAUAACGCAGCGAAAGCUGCGCUAAUACCGCAUACGAUCUAUGGAUGAAAGCGGGGGACCGUAAGGCCUCGCGCGAUUGGAGCGGCCGAUGUCAGAUUAGGUAGUUGGUGGGGUAAGGGCUCACCAAGCCAACGAUCUGUAGCUGGUCUGAGAGGACGACCAGCCACACUGGGACUGAGACACGGCCCAGACUCCUACGGGAGGCAGCAGUGGGGAAUUUUGGACAAUGGGCGCAAGCCUGAUCCAGCAAUGCCGCGUGCAGGAAGAAGGCCUUCGGGUUGUAAACUGCUUUUGUACGGAACGAAACGGUUCUGGUUAAUACCUGGGGCUAAUGACGGUACCGUAAGAAUAAGCACCGGCUAACUACGUGCCAGCCGCCGCCGUAACAC